rnacentral:rRNA from 1 species
UGGGGAAUUUGGACAAUGGGCGAAAGCCUGAUCCAGCAAUGCCGCGUGUGUGAAGAAGGCCUUCGGGUUGUAAAGCACUUUUGUCCGGAAAGUAAAUCCUUGGCUCUAAUACAGUCGGGGGGAUGACGGUACCGGAAGAAUAAGCACCGGCUAACUACGUGCCAGCAGCCGCGGUAAUACGUAGGGUGCAAGCGUUAAUCGGAAUUACUGGGCGUAAAGCGUGCGCAGGCGGUUUGCUAAGACCGAUGUGAAAUCCCCGGGCUCAACCUGGGAACUGCAUUGGUGACUGGCAGGCUAGAGUAUGGCAGAGGGGGGUAGAAUUCCACGUGUAGCAGUGAAAUGCGUAGAGAUGUGGAGGAAUACCGAUGGCGAAGGCAGCCCCCAUGGGCCAAUACUGACGCUCAUGCACGAAAGCGUGGGGAGCAAACAGGAUUAGAUAACCCUGGUAGUCCACGCCCUAAACGAUGUCAACUAGUUGUUGGGGAUUCAUUUCCUUAGUAACGUAGCUAACGCGUGAAGUUGACCGCCUGGGGAGU